CAGCAUGGCGUGCGAGUCCAGAAAGGCCUUAGCCAGCUGACAGAACCACGUUGUUGUGAGGCAACAGUGCUAAUGUUGCGCCCUGAAAAGGGGAGUGAAUAAAUGAAACGUAGGGACACGAUGCUUCUCUUCUGGCAGCUUCAUUCAGAAUUUAUUAUUUACAAAAUUAUACUUACAAACAGUAUCAGGUUAGAAAAAUAUAAAAUAUUCAGAUAAUCAAUAAACAAUAUUUCAAAUAUCAAAAUUAUAUGUAAUUGCAAUAACCCAAAUAAUAUCUAAUAACAAGCACUUCAAGCCUUUUGACAGUUAAUUAACACUAUAAACAAAACAUCCAUUACUAAACAAACACAUAAACAGUCAGUUAUGCACACAAUAUGCGCUGUGCCUGCGGUCACGUGACGCUCUGUGCCGGCCAGAGUUUAGCUUGCUGCUAAUUAGCAUCUCAAUUAGCGCCACUCCAAAACCCGAACAUUAAUGCCCGUAACACCACACUUAGUCGGCACAUCAACAAAACCUCAUAUCGAACAUAUUUUACCCUUCCAAUAACAUCAACUAUAUAAAUACUCUAUACAUUCUGUACCUGAAAAGGGGAGUGAAUAAAUGAAACGUAGGGACACGAUGCUUCUCUUCUGGCAGCUUCAUUCAGAAUGAGGCAUCGUGGCCCGAGAGCUCCCCCUUCCGACCUCUGCAGGCAUAACUAAUCGAUCACAGGUGGUUUCCCAGAACAGGAUCAACAGAUGAUCACAGAUUAAUUCAACUUCUGACAGGGGCAGGAGGCACCACAUCUUCAGUGACCCCAUCGUCAAACACUGUAUCACUGGGUCCGAGGAGAGAACAAAAAGAAUCAUCAAACUUCACAGUUUUAGUGAUGUUGCAGUUACAUUACCUCACUUUUUAUACUUUCUGGAGGGAUAUAUUUUCUGAUAUCUUCUGAUACAAAGUUAAUGAUAUUGGGCUGUUAUGCUUUAGUGGUGAUGGCAAGAAAAGUAGUAUAUUUUUUUAAGUUAGUGAUCAGUCACCUUCACACACAAAUCAUACAUCAAUACUAACCUAGGUUUACACAUAAUCCAAAUAAUGCAUUGCAAAAAUAGUAUAUUACAGUUGACUGUUGAACAUCAUGUCAAAAUAAACUACUAACUGGAUUUAAAUUGUAGACUUUUCUCCAC
rnacentral:lncRNA from 15 species